CCAGACUCCUACGGGAGGCAGCAGUGGGGAAUAUUGGGCAAUGGGCGCAAGCCUGACCCAGCAACGCCGCGUGAUCGAAUGAAGGCCUUCGGGUUGUAAAGAUCUGUUGACAGGGACGAAUAAGCAAUGCGAAUAGUUUUGUGUAUGACGAUACCUGUUUAGAAAGCUCCGGCUAACUACGUGCCAGCAGCCGCGGUAAUACGUAGGGAGCAAGCGUUAUCCGGAUUCACUGGGUGCAAAGGGAGCGUAGACGGCGACGCAAGUCUGGAGUGAAAGCCCGGGGCCCAACCCCGGGACUGCUCUGGAAACUGCGUCGCUGGAGUACGGGAGGGGCAGGCGGAAUUCCUGGUGUAGCGGUGAAAUGCGUAGAUAUCAGGAGGAACACCGGCGGCGAAGGCGGCCUGCUGGACCGCGACUGACGUUGAGGCUCGAAAGCGUGGGGAGCGAACAGGAUUAGAUACCCGAGUAU
rnacentral:rRNA from 1 species